rnacentral:miRNA from 12 species
GCGUUCACUGCGCAGCCAUAUG